rnacentral:rRNA from 1 species
CCUACGGGAGGCAGCAGUGGGGAAUAUUGCACAAUGGGCGAAAGCCUGAUGCAGCGACGCCGCGUGAGGGAUGACGGCCUUCGGGUUGUAAACCUCUUUCAGCAGGGAAGAAGCGAAAGUGACGGUACCUGCAGAAGAAGCGCCGGCUAACUACGUGCCAGCAGCCGCGGUAAUACGUAGGGCGCAAGCGUUGUCCGGAAUUAUUGGGCGUAAAGAGCUCGUAGGCGGCUUGUCACGUCGGUUGUGAAAGCCCGGGGCUUAACCCCGGGUCUGCAGUCGAUACGGGCAGGCUAGAGUGUGGUAGGGGAGAUCGGAAUUCCUGGUGUAGCGGUGAAAUGCGCAGAUAUCAGGAGGAACACCGGUGGCGAAGGCGGAUCUCUGGGCCAUUACUGACGCUGAGGAGCGAAAGCGUGGGGAGCGAACAGGAUUAGAUACCUGGUAGUCCACGCCGUAAACGGUGGGAACUAGGUGUUGGCGACAUUCCACGUCGUCGGUGCCGCAGCUAACGCAUAAGUUCCCGCCUGGGAGUACGGCCGCAAGGCGUAAAACUUAAAUGAAUUGAGG